rnacentral:lncRNA from 10 species
CAAGUGAGGAAUGGGGAAGGAGGGUGGAGGAAGGAGCUUGUAAAUGAGCAGCUGGUUUGCAGCAAAACCGCACCUCACUCUGCACCUUUGGAUCCCUCUCAGCCUGAGGUUAGCACAGCCAAUGUCCUCACCAGCGUCUGCCAAAGCCCAUGGAGAAGCAGGAGCAUAUCACUGUGACUUACAACCCUUCUCUAGUCUGCUACAAUGGAAUCUUAAACAAGAAAAUUUUAUAUUUUGACUUGCAUCAUUGAGAAAAACACUGCCAACCUGAUCGUGGUUCCUUUGAAGAAUCACUGCAGCAGGUGCGAGAGAGGACUCAUGGAGCUUGCAGAUGAGCUAGCCCAG